rnacentral:rRNA from 1 species
GGGGGGGGGGGGGGGGGGGGCGGGGGGGGGGGGGGGGGGCGGACGCGGCGGGGGUGGCGGCGGACGGGGGGGGAGCGCGGGGGGACGGGCCCUUGGCGUCGGGAGCGCCCUGGGAAGCUGGGAGUAAUACCGGAGACGCCCUCUUGGGGAAAGAGUUAUCGGCGAAGGAUCGGCCCGCGUUGGCUUAGGGAGUUGGUGGGGUAAUGGCCUACCAAGCCGCCGAUCCAUAGCUGGUUUGAGAGGAUGAUCAGCCACACUGGGACUGAGACACGGCCCAGACUCCUACGGGAGGCAGCAGUGGGGAAUCUUAGACAAUGGGGGAAACCCUGAUCUAGCCAUGCCGCGUGAGCGAUGAAGGCCUUAGGGUUGUAAAGCUCUUUCACCGGGGAAGAUAAUGACGGUACCCGGAGAAGAAGCCCCGGCUAACUCCGUG